AAAAAAGUGACUUCCAAAUGACAGAGGGACAAACAAGUUAGAUAACGUACCUUAACUCCCAUGCCAUGCCCUUUUGCCAGAACACACUGUCUCAUUCCUGUGACUAUCUUUAUCCACUUUCCUCUUUUUUAUAAUCGAUACAGAUAAAGCCACAAGGUCUUCUGAUUUUCUUCUGAUUCAAAGAAUUUAACUCCUUGGAAAAUGAUUUCAGGUUGGUUUUACGUUUAUAAUUCAUGUUCUUUGUACUUCAUUCUUGGAGUUCUUUCAGAAGGAAACGAUGAGAAAUUACUGCAAACUCAUUUCUGUUUAAGGCUUUUAGCAUAUUUGGUAUGGGAUUAGAUAGUAUUGGACAGUAUGCAAAAAAAAAAAAAAAAAAAAAAAAGGAAAAAAAGAAGCA
rnacentral:lncRNA from 1 species